rnacentral:lncRNA from 1 species
UUUGAUCGGGUGGGCCGAGGGAAGGAGAUGGGCGGACAUCCUCAAGCCCGGGUCUGUUAACACAGACCCAAUCUUCCCCAACAACAAGCUCACCGGGACAGAUGUUGGGUACCCGGGAGGGCUCUGGUUCGACCCACUUGGAUGGGGAAGCGGCUCGCCUGAGAAGAUCAAGGAGUUGAGGACAAAGGAGAUCAAGAACGGAAGGCUGGCUAUGUUGGCUGUGAUGGGAGCUUGGUUCCAACACAUUUACACUGGGACUGGCCCCAUUGACAACCUCUUCGCUCACCUCGCCGAUCCCGGCCAUGCCACCAUUUUUGCUGUAAGUGCAAUUAGUACAUUUUAAAUUGAUUUAAACUAAUUUGAGAACAUGUUUAGGGUUAACAUAUCUAAUUGUUUUGGUUGUUUUUUGACAGUCUUUUUCCCCGAAGUGAGGAAAGAAGGAGAAUUCUAAUUGGGAUUCAAGUGCGGGAGGAGAAGGGGCAACGUUGGUAGGACAAAAAACUUGUAAUUUUAUCUGCUUGCCUUGUGUACAAAAAUCUAUUUGGAACCUUCAUUCCAAUAUGUAUGAAAUCAGCUGGUGACCUACAAAAUCGGAACUUAUAAAUAUGUAAACUACUGUUUUGCGAUAUUAGAGGAGGGCACGAUCGAACCUAGAACCACCACAAAUGUAUUAAUAAGUAUUCUAAAUCACUCAAGUUACAAAUCCACUUCAAAAUGUUUUCUUUUUUUUGUGGAAAGAACUUAACUUGGGAUUUUAUUAUACUACAAUAUUCAUUACGAAAAGGUUAAACAACAUGAACUUUUAAAAAAUCCAAAUCCUGGUUUGUGUAGGCAGGGAGAAGAUGCCCAAAGCCUCAAACAUACCGUCAGAUUGCAGUCUUAUUUAUUAAAAUUAAGCGAUUUCGAAGUUUCACAACCAUGUGAACCGAUGUUCUUAUCAAACUGGUUUGGGAAUAUAUAUUAUACAAUAAAAUUGGUUACAAAGUUUUAAUCAAAAUUAAACGUGCGGAUCAAAUAAACUGAUAUAAGCUGUAUAUUAAUCACAAUUUAAUAUCAUUUUUAACCAGCUUUAUUUGUGCAUAUGGAAUGAGAAUUGUGGAUGCAAAUUUCUUCCUCUUUGAUCUUGGACAAAAUUGCACCUACAAAACAACUAACACCUUUGGUUAAGACCAAAAGCCUCACGCGCCC